AACGAACGCUGGCGGCAUGCCUAACACAUGCAAGUCGAACGAUACCUUCGGGUCUAGUGGCGCACGGUUGCGUACCGCGUGGUAACCUGCCCUUAGGUUCCGUAUAUCUCCCCGAAGGGGAUGCUAUUACCGGAUAAUCUAUUCCGGCCAAAGAUUUAUUGCCUUUUGAUGGGCCCUCGUUAGAUUAGCUUGUUGGUAGGGUAAAAGCCUACCAAGGCGACUAUCCAAAGCUGGUCUGAGAGGAUGAUCAGCCACACUGGGACUGAGAGACGGCCCAGACUCCUACGAGAGGAAGGAGUGGGGAAUAAUGGACAAUGGGCGAAAGAAUGAGCCAGCAAGGCCGCGUGAGUGAGGAAGGAGUUAGGGAUGUAAGGGUGUUUUACAAGGGAUGAUAAUGACAGUACCGUGAGAAUAAGCUACGGCUAACUACGUG
rnacentral:rRNA from 1 species